GAUGAACGCUGGCGGCGUGCCUAAUACAUGCAAGUCGAGCGAACAGAUGAGGAGCUUGCUCCUCUGACGUUAGCGGCGGACGGGUGAGUAACACGUGGAUAACCUACCUAUAAGACUGGGAUAACCUCGGGAAACCGGAGCUAAUACCGGAUAAUAUAUUGAACCGCAUGGUUGAAUAGUGAAAGACGGUUUUGCUGUCACUUAUAGAUGGAUCCGCGCCGCAUUAGCUAGUUGGUAAGGUAACGGCUUACCAAGGCAACGAUGCGUAGCCGACCUGAGAGGGUGGUCGGCCACACUGGAACUGAGACACGGUCCAGACUCCUACGGGAGGCAGCAGUAGGGAAUCUUCCGCAGAGGGCGGAAGCCUGACGGAGCAACGCCGCGUGAGUGAUGAAGGUCUUCGGAUCGUAAAGCUCUGUUAUUAGGGAAGAACAAAUGUGUAAGUAACUAUGCACGUCUUGACGGUACCUAAUCAGAAAGCCACGGCUAACUACGUG
rnacentral:rRNA from 1 species